rnacentral:snoRNA from 1 species
CCGAUGAGGAGACUUUCGGGCCCUGAGCUGUGAUGAGGGCCACCCUAUCCGAGG